UUUGGAUCACGAAACGAUCGCAGGCGUUGGGCGCGGGAGAUUCGGACGCGGAUACUUGACUGGGACUCGGAUGAUUGCGAAUCCCGGAAGAAUCGGAUGCUGGUUCGGAGGAUGCGGAAAUGGGAAGCUUCACGGGAGAAGCUGGAGCGUGGACGCUCGGUGGUAGCUUGGGAGAUCUGAACCGUGGAUGGCUCGCGGAAGAUGCUUGCAGACGU
rnacentral:lncRNA from 1 species